CUAAUGACUCUCGGCAACGGAUAUCUCGGCUCUUACAACGAUGAAGAACGUAGCGAAAUGCGAUACUUGGUGUGAAUUGCAGAAUCCCGUGAACCAUCGAGUCUUUGAACGCAAGUUGCGCCCGAAUCCAUCCGGUCGAGGGCACGUCUGCCUGGGUGUCA
rnacentral:rRNA from 4 species